AUCAUUAAAUUUUUUAUUUUUCUAACUUAUUUACAUACAUCAAUGAAAUAAUACACAAAGUUAUAAUCAAUUUCUUCUUUUACAUUCAAACACACGUUAUUUCGAUAAGUAGUCGUAAUUAAUCUGAUUCAUACUUUUUCCCGAAAUUGUCUGGGGAUGGUAACUCUUUGGUUGCUUCAAACCUGUCAGUUUUGGCAUUGUAUGUUUCACACGCCAUCAGAGUGCAGGCGAUAAAUCCUCCUUGAUGACAGGAGCACCAAUUGCAUCCAUCAAAGUAACGUUCACCCGGUAUACAUUGCCUUGCUUUAUAACAAACAAUUACCAAGAAAUUAUUGACUAUGAAGAGUCUCGUCGGAUUAGAAGCACAAAAUGUCAGAUUUAGAAUACUUACCAUGAGACAGAUCAGCUUCGUUAGAUCUUUCGGUGCCCACGUCGAUGCUCAUCGAGCUAACGAUGGCGAGCAGCAAAAGAAAAGUAAAGAAUUUAAUGAACAUCUCUUCUGCUGUUUGAACCUCUUCACACUGACGAUCCGACUGAUCGACUGACCUUAUAUACAACUUCAAUCCAUGUUUUUGCCGCCUCCGUAUCGAUAACCUUCCUUAAUCUCUGUCACAUUAUUCCACGAACGAUAAAUUUCCAUAUGUCCGAUCGAUUCGAAUUUAGAAUCGUGUAUACAGCGAUGUUCACGUAUUGCUACACACUUUCUUUUACUGGUAAACAAACGUUACGAAAAUUCUCGUUUCUAACGCUUUUCCCUUUCUUAAUCGAAGGUCAGAGAUCGACUUCGUUAACGCGUCGACCGAGUUUCUUCCAGCGGGCUUCAUUAAUUUUUCAUCGAAUCCGUCGAGACGCCGUAUAAUUCUCUUUCCCGGAACGUCACAGGAUUCCGUGAGGAAAAAAUAAGCGGCCAGACGACGCGAAUCGAAACACGUUUCGCGCAUUAGGGUGCCAUUAUCGGGGCCAGGGUUUUACGAAAUCCUGGUAGCGUGAUCUACCCAAUAGGAAAAGGCCAGAACCUGAUAUACCAAGCUGGUCGUUCUAUGUCGUAUCUUGGCACUCGCUCUAAUAAUUGUUUCAACGACUGUGCCUGCACAGUCGUAGCUACGUCUAUCCAUCAUUCUAACACCGCGGCAUUAUGCAGCCAUCGAGAUAUCUUAGCACGGCAAACGUACACACCGGCACCCUGGAUGUGGGAAAUGCCAAUUCAUUGAUUACUGUAAUUUCACGGCAUAAAUCGCGAAUCGUGCCCACGCCAAAGUCGAACGUUAUGCUCCCGAAAUCAAAAGAAUUUGUCUCGUACGAGUAACCUAUUGUUCCGAAAGGUCGACGACGUAGAGAAUCGGUGUUAUCGCGGACACCGGCUUUCUUUUCCUCAACAAUUCUGUUUCCGCUUGAUUACACCAGCUCGAACUUGCGAUAGCCUAAUUCACGAUACACCAAUGUGCCGUUCAACUUGAACUUCAGAAUGUUAAGUAACUCUGCUAACGCAGUAAUUUAAAUGCGUGUACAGAAUUGUACUUUGCCUUUGUUAUUACCUCCGUAUCUCUUGCACAAACUGUAACGAGGAAUAAUACACACAGAGUUAGCUUUAUAUCGAAAAAGAUUCUUUGUUUCAAAAUAAUCUAAUCAAAUUAAAUGUUUCAUGCGAGGAUUGUUUGAUUUAAUGGAAGAAACCUAAUCGAACAGCUGACUCUUUUUUUAAAUUCAUUUAUUAUUUACAGAGAUAAUAAUAUUGAAUUUAUCAAUGCUUUUAUUAUUAGCAUUUUCAAUGUUGGUAGCAAAUGUCAAGUUCGUUUAGUGUCUUUUGCCUAUAACGUGUCGUUUAGUUGUGUUUUUUUUUUUCUUGGAGCGCCAUCAGAUAGAGAACCAUCGUUCAAAACGUUACAACCUUCGCAACGAAAACAGCGAAUCCAUCCAGCUAACCAUGAUUGAUGAUUCUCACGGCUCGAACGGUAGGAAUUUGCAUCGAAUUUAUAUCGUGCCGCUCGCAAACUGUAUAACGGAGUAAUAGCGGUCCGCGCUACCGCUUUCGAUACCAUGAAUCUUCGGAACACACGCCGACGAACACGGCCAAGCUACAUUGUACGGCCAGAGAGGCGAAAUAUUACAAGGAUACGGCAAGCAGCGUCGAUCGGUUCCUUGUAUCGAAGGAUAACACCGAAUCCUCGCCCCUCCGUGCAAGUCAAGCAUCCGCCGUCAGACCUGCCAUUAACAAUGCACUUAUGCAUCACCGACCAACAGGGGGCUACGAUUAUCUUCGUUCUUGGAUCACAAUUUCCUGGGAAAGAGAAAUUCGUGCUGGUUAGCAUUGUGGGUGGACAAAAGGUAAAAUUGGCGAAACGAAUUACGUCUGACUAUUAUUAAGGGAGAAACAGGUGAUGCUCUUGCCUCGAGGACGUGAAAUUUUCAAUUGGAAAACUUUCGAUUUAUGCUUUAUUUAAUAAACUUCAUGAAAUAAACAGCUUCAUGAUUUAUCGAAAUUGAUUGCUUUUCAGCACUUUCAUCGAUGAUCCUUAGUGUCAUUACGAAAAGAGAGAGACAUUAUCCAAGCAGGUGGCCUCUAUCGGAACAAAACUAAUAACGGUGAACACUAAAUUAGAAAGUUUAUAAUGAAUGCGUUUUCCAGGGAGUUGUCUGUACGAAGAACUCAGCAAUGCUUUCUCAGCAGGCAACGCGUUAAAAUUCAUUAGUUUCCUUACGAAGCUGUUCUCUCGAUGGAAUAUUAAUUGAACUUACACAGAGGUUAAAGGUUCGUUCCACGUUGUUCUUGGAAACGGAUAGAUUUCUCGAAAGGGAACUAGAACUGUUUACUAAUGUCACUGUCAGACUCGGACGUAUUCGUUCAAUUCUUAAGUAGCAUGGUCGACGUAAGAAUUCAAAAAUCUUUGCCAAGGUUACUGGUGACCCAUUGAUAAAUCGAGCAAUUAAAUAUCUUUCAGUAAUAGCAUUUCAUUUUUCAAUUCACGUACAAUUUUCUUUCAUGUUAUUUUAAUUACAUUAAAUUUGUAGUGCUGGUCAGUACGACGUUCAAGUGUUAAUUGAAACUUCGAGUUACGUCCCGGUGUUACAUUUUAUUAAACCACAAUACUGGCGUAAAUAAUUAAUGGGCUGUAAUGAUCACGAUUAAAUUGAAUCGCGCGUUCGCCGGUUAUUACACGGACGCAGUAUUUCUUGCCGCUAACGAGUGUUGUUAUUUACAAGAAGCCGUACACCGCGGGAGUAGCUCGAGGGCGCAUUAGGCAGACGCCACGCAGAGUGGACAGCUCCUGGCUGCUUGUAGCAGCCGCGAGUUUCGUUCUUUCCUCUUUUCUUCCCUUCGUUUCCAUCUUUUUUUCGUUUUUUUUCUCGCGUCGCUUGUCAGCUCGCUGCUCGCCACCGACACGCUUCGUCAUACGAGCUGGCAACCUUCUCGCCGAGACGUUUGACGCGAUAAUUGCGAAAGGUACGGGAAGUAUUGAGAAAAAUCAAUGAAAAAAAUUUAAUUCAAAAAUUGCGAGAUAAUUGGGGCGUUCUAAAUUUAGUUAACGAUAUUUAAGAAAAUUUAUUCGAGAUUGAAAUAAACUUGCAAGACUUUCUAGAAUAUAAAUAACAGUCGAACGAUAUAUCCUCUUAGAGUGGAACGAGUAUUCUUUCACUUUUAUUGGAAUUUUACAACCGUGUUCAUUUAUGUAAAAUAUCUGGAGAAUUAGUGUUUGCGAAUGAAAUUGAAUUGCGGAAUGUUCUAGCCCGUAAUGAAUGUGAGAAAGGGUUGAGGCCUGUUGAAAGAUCGUCGACUAAAUUAACAGUACUUAUUGAAAGAAGAAUUAUUAACCACGAAGAACAAAUUAUUUCUCGUUUCCUCUGUAAUUAAGUAGACACUUUAUACGUUCCCGUAUAAACUGCUCACACGACUCGUUUCAUGUUUUCUAAAGUACAAAAGAAAUUUAAAUACAGCUUGAACGCUCGAUGCCGAUUCGACGCAUGAACCAGUCUGUAUUUAUUCAUAAGAGAACGAGAAGUGGACGAGAGUCGAAUAAAAAAGAGCAGUCGACACAAUCGACAGUGAUAUUUUACGAGGAACGUCCGCUCGUAAAAUAUCGCGAGUCCGAUGACACAGAAGACAUCGAUAUUUCCUUCGACUCAUCUUUGAACGCUUUCCUUUAUCGUUUCUGCAUUUCUAGAGAGAUAGUAAGUAGAUUAGAUCGGCUGAAAUCCGAAAAACAAAGAGAGGGGAAAAAAGAAGGAUCGACGAGUAUCCCGUUGGCUUAAUAUAACGUGGGAUUAAUAUGCACCGCGACAUCAGAGUGACGUUACAAAUGAGCGGCUAAGCUCGCUGUUGCGGUUAAUUAAUGGAGCCGGACGGUGUAACGCGGCGUUAAUCUAUGGUGCAAUAAACGUAACGCCGGUAUGUAAAAAUCCAAUCAAAAUGCAUUAAUAACGGGAGAAUUAAUGCCCUGUUGUGCCGUAUUCGCGAGGCUGCAUGCACAUCGGCCGAUAUUGCGUGCACAUGCACCUACACUCGCGUUACGUGUUCGUGUCGCUCGUAAACGGACUAAUUACUCGCAAUUAUGCAACGGUCGAGUGCAUGGCUUUUUUUUCUCGCUCAUUAGUUCCUCAUAUUACUGGCGAAUUACAUAAUAAUAUUCCGCCAAUAGACGUCGAUAUGUUCAAACGAUCGAUUUAGAUAUCUAACAUCGAACCCACGCGAAGCAAUAAUUUUCAGAGAACACAGAACGAACUUGUACUGAUUAUUUAUUUAUUUCUCUAUUACAGGUGGUUUUGUUUCUUUCUUACAGAUAGAUCAUGAUAAUCUAGAUUAAUUGGGUAUAAUUAUAAAAAUUUUCAAUAUUUUUUGACUCAUUAUAGAUAAUUCUAAUAUUACAAAUUCUAAGAGAUUGAAAAGUAUUAGAAUUCUUCGAGCAAAGUUUCAAUUCAGAUUUAUAGCGAUUCGAAGGCGACGAAAAAUGUGAUAGAUUUUCCAGGACGAUGUUGGUUAGUCGCUGUCAAGAUUCAUGAUCUCUGAUUGAAGGUGCGCGAACACAUCGAUCAAACCGGUAUGGUGUUAGCGGUUUCCAGGCGAUAUAAAACCGAACGUUGUCGUUCGUCGUCGCCCAUUAUCCCCGUGUACACGCUCUCGGUUAAUGGGAUCGAUGGUCGCUCGCGAUUUCCCUGGCUCGUCUUCGUCUUCUUCUUCGACUCGGUUGAACUUGAUGGCGAUUGCGUCAUCGAGUUGUGACCAGGCUGUUUCUACAUCUAGACAGCUCGACGACGGGCUACGCUUUUAGCCCCCUUCAAACCCUUUUACUCUCGUUCACUCGUACCUUCUCUUUCUACUCAACAUUCGCCUUUACGCUUCCAUCUCGCCAGAAGGCUCGUUCUCUUUCUUCGGCGAAUCGUGCAGAACACCGGGCCCGAGGAAUACGUCGGUGACUUGCAUACAAUAGAAGAGAGUGAUGGGCAGUUUUCUGAGGGAUCCAGAGUCGUUGGAACGCGCGACAGCUGUCACGACGUCCUUACGAAAGAGGGGCUCGACUCGAUAAGAGCCAAGAAUAAACGCACGGACACACGCGCGCCAGUCAACGCGGUUAAACGCUUGGAAAUUCUACCUGUAUCGAACUGCUUUCGAAUAGCUUGCAAGAUAUUAUCUUUACUCCGAUCGUACUCUGUCAAUGUUUCAUUAAGAUCAAUUCAAUUGUACCUAGAACCGGUGAUCAAAUUAUUAUAAUCGCUUCGAAAUUGAAGAGUUAUAAGUGUUCGAAAAACUUUCAAUAUCAGUUGUGCCAGAAAUCGAAAUUUACAAUAUCUCCAUUCUGAUUUGUUGCUCGUUCCUUCGAUACCUUGAAUUAACGUAACAUUGUUCGUAAGUAACGACCCUAAGAGGACGUUGGAAAGCCAGCAGGUGCAUAAUGGGUCGGCAAUUGAUCGGUGUCACUUUUCAAUUACGCCGUUCGAUCGUAAAUUUGUAAACGCAUAAAACCCCAUACCCCUAUAAAUUGUCCAAGGACGUGGACUUUCAUUCGCGCAGGAAAAUGAGUAUCCCUUCUACGCGGAGGAUUAUGAAAAGGAUCAGGCGUACGUAUUCACCGGUUCGAGUCGUAAAUCUAAAAGCGAACCUAACUAAAGGUUUUAUGUUUCACGCGUACACUACGCGCGAUUAAACGCGAAUUACACAAGAAACGAUUACUAAUUUUUGAAAUAUCCGAUUGAAAUAUCAUCGAAAAAUCUCUGAAUCAUUUCCU